GACGAACGCUGGCGGCGUGCUUAACACAUGCAAGUCGAACGGAAAGGCCCUGCUUUUGUGGGGUGCUCGAGUGGCGAACGGGUGAGUAACACGUGAGUAACCUGCCCUUGACUUUGGGAUAACUUCAGGAAACUGGGGCUAAUACCGGAUAGGAGCUCCUGCUGCAUGGUGGGGGUUGGAAAGUUUCGGCGGUUGGGGAUGGACUCGCGGCUUAUCAGCUUGUUGGUGGGGUAGUGGCUUACCAAGGCUUUGACGGGUAGCCGGCCUGAGGGGGUGACCGGCCACAUUGGGACUAAGAUGAGGCCCAGACUCCUACGGGGGGCAGCAGUGGGGAAUAUUGCUCAAUGGGCGGAAGCCUGAUGCAGCAACGCCGCGUGCGGGAUGACGGCCUUCGGGUUGUAAUCCGCUUUCGCCUGUGACGAAGCGUGAGUGACGGUAAUGGGUAAAGAAGCACCGGCUAACUACGUG
rnacentral:rRNA from 1 species